rnacentral:lncRNA from 1 species
UUUCCCAUCUUCUAUUGCAACACUUCUUCUCCUAUUUCCAAUUAACAUGUUCAAUCAAAAGCCCCCAAUGGCGGAAGAUCUCCAAGAAUUGGUCCUCAACCUUCCCAGAGAGAAAAACCUUGAUGGCACGAAUUCUCUCUAUCUGUUCAAAGGGGCUUGGGUUUCAGCUUAUGUGUUAAGAGCUGUGGAUUCCUUUCAACGCCACUUCAUUGCUCAAGACACCGAUAUAAUAGUAGCUAGCAUGCCGAAAUCAGGCACUACUUGGCUCAAAGCCCUGACCUUUUCGGUUGCAAAACGCCACAUCUAUGACCCCAAAGAAAGUCCUUUACUCACCACUCCACCUCAUGAACUGGUACCUUUUACCGAUACUGGCCUUUACAUGGAAGACCCGCUCCCAAAUCUUGAACAACUUCCUCCUCCAAGAAUCUUCGGUUGUCACUCCCAUUUUGCAAAUUUGCCAGAAUCCAUUAGAAAUUCCAAGUGUAAAGUUGUGUACAUAUGCAGAAAUCCAUUGGACCAAGUUGUCUCUUACUUUCAGUUUGCACACCAGUUCAAACAAGAUGGCAAACCUUUAUUAUCACUAGAUGAAUGUUAUGAGAACAUUUGUCGUGGAGUCCAUGUUCUGGGCCCUUUUUGGGAUAAUGUGCUGGGGUAUUGGAAAGCAAGCUUAGAGAGACCAGACAAGGUGUUGUUCUUAAAAUAUGAAGACUUGAAGGAGGAUAUAAUCUCUAACUUGAAGAAAAUCGCUGGGUUCUUGGGAAUUCCUUUCACCGACGAAGAAGAAAAGGAAGGGGUUAUUGAAGAAAUAUCAAGGCUGUGCAGCUUCGACAAUCUCAGGAAUUUGGAAGUGAACAAAAAUGGUGUUCGUCCUUCUGGGGCUCCAAACAGCUCCUUCUUCAGGAAAGGAGAGGUGGGUGAUUGGGCAAAUUAUCUGAGUCCUUCCAUGGCUGAGAAUUACCUGAAGAUUGUGGAAGAGAAGUUGAGUGGAUCUGGUUUAACCUUCAAAACAUCUCAAUAAAGUGCAACGUUCUCCUUAAUUCCCUUGUGUUUUUGUGAGUGUCGAGAUCUAUUAUUGUUCAGUGAACCCUCCUUGCUGCUUUCUUAACUAAAAAUUAAGAUCUUGGAUCUGAAAACUUCAUGGAAUCUGACAUGGAUGCUAAUUAAACCUUCAUUGUUUUGCUUAAUUUUUAUUCCAAUGUCAGUUUUUACAAGGUUUUUUCUAAUAAUAACAAAAAAGGCUUUGUUUUUAUUAUCACUCCCGACCACAAGUUUCCAGUAAGAAGAUGAUAAAAGAUUGGUCUUUUGCUGUAUCUCUUUUGUUCUUGAACUAAGGAAAAUCUUGAAGGUUAUUUUGGUGCUUGUGUUUUUUUAACAGAGCAGGUAAAAGAAAAGGCGGGAGAUAAAAGUUGCUUCACCAGAAACCGAGGCCAGGCCUCACUUAUUGGCGGGUCCCUCGAACGACCCUUAAUCCAAUAAUGGAUGGGUACAUGAUCCAAUAAACCACCAAGCUGGUGUCCUAAAAACAGUCUUCUAGUCCCUGUAAUUUUAUAAGAAGCUGUUUCAGUACUUUUGUUUAAUGCAUUUAUAAUUAAGUCCUGAGAUUAUAAUUUCCUUUUAUCCUUAUGGUAAUUUGAUUUUCAGUUUAAUCUUUAUACCUGGAAAUAUCAUAAAAUAAUUCAUAGGCAUGAAAUCAAUAUUUGCUUAAAGCAGUUGUUUUAAUGUGCUGAUGUUAAAAAUAAAUUUUAAAAAAAUAUAAUUUUAAUAUAAUUUAAACAAAAAAUAUUUUAAAAAAACAACCAUUAAUCACAAAAAUAAAAUUGGCUGAGGUUAACAGGAACACAGAUUUAUCUCCGUGCAUUCAAUUGGAAUCAUGCUUGUUAAAUCUUGACAUCACAUUUAGAUUGUUAAGUGGAAUUUUAAUGAAAUUAAAUAUUAAAUCAGUAAAUAAAUACAACAAAAAAGGAAUUAUUAAAUAAAUAACGUAUAAAAAAAAGAAGAUACUUAGACGCAGGGGCGAAGCUAGAAUUAUUUGUUAGGGGAGGCCAAAAUUAAUAUAAUAAGAUAUAAUAUUUAUUUUAAUUUAUUAUACAUGAGUUGUAAAACAAAACCUAUAUAAUUUAGUUUUAUUCAAAUAACUUACUACAAACAUAUAAUGACAUUUGUAUAAGGUAAAAGGUUUGGAGCAAAACCAAAUUGAGUCAAAGUAAUGAAGUUAAUUUCAUCUUCAUAAAAUAUCCAUCACUUUAAUGUUGUUGGUCUUUAUACAUAUCAAAUAUAAACAUACAAAGUAUAUAAGAAACAUUAGCUAAAACGAAACAUUAUUUAUGUUUGAUAAACUUUGAAAUAAAGCAAAAAAUAAUAAAGAAUGAUUCUUACAUAUUUAUUUUAAUUGUGCUCGUCGUUCUUUCAUAUAAUAGAAAUCAUCGAUUAUCAUAUCAAUUGUGAAUCUUUCAGCAAUUUCUUUUUCUAUAUAGACAAUCAAAUAAUUUGCAAAAAAAUCAUCCUCCAUCCGAUUGCGAAGUCUUGUUUUAACAAUAUUUAUCGCUGAAAAAGCUCGUUCAGUAGGCUGUGAGUUAUCAAUAUUUUUUCUUUUUCUUUUUCGAAAAAAGAAUCAAUUCUUCUUAUUUUAUUCAUGGUUCAACCUAAAAUCAAAACAUAUAUUGUAAGAAAAAAUUGAUAAUUUUGACGGUUCUGCUCAAAACAAAACAUAAAAAAAAUCCAAGCAUAAUCAAAACAAACCAAUAAAAUAUAUCUAAUUAAUUAGAAAAAAAAUCACUAUAACAAGAAUUCAAAAAACAAUUGGUAGAACUAGCAGAUCUGAAAAAAAAAUGAGCAAAAAUGAUAGAAUUAUUAAAAAAACCUCAUCAAAUUAUUAACAACCAUCUCAAAACAAAACAAAAAUAUAUUUUAAAUUUAAGUUACCUUGUUUUGUUUGAUGAAAAAUAAAUUAAUUAGUAGCUCUCCUUCAAUAUUUUUGUAGAAAAAUUUUGCUCGCGAUUUAUGUUUUUGAUUGGGUGCAGGAUUUAUAUUAGGGUAAAUUGAUGGCUUUGUUAUUUAUUUCACAAAGUAAUGCCUUUAUUUUUUUUUUCUUUUCCAUGUAGGUCAAGAGUAAAUUAAAAGAAAAUUAAAAAUAAAAUCACACUUAAUUUAGGAGGCCCACCUCUCUAAAAUAAAAAAUAUAACACUUCCUCAUAUUUAAUUAUCUAAUUACCUAAUACAAAAAAAAAAAAAAGUAUUGCAUGUAUUGCAGGGGGGCCCGGGCCCCUGCUUGCCCCCCCUUGCUUCCGCCCCUGCUUAGAGGGUGGGAGAAAAUUUAAAUUUUUAACGUUCUCUUUUAUCUUCUCUGUGGUAUGGAUGCAAAACGAGAGAUAGCCUACGUAAAAAUAUGUUUGGGAACGUGGUUUUUUUUUAUUAAAAUUUAAUAUGUUUUGUAUGUUUUAGAUCGUUUUGAUGUGGCGAUAUCAAAAAUAAUUUUUAAAAAAUAAAAAAAAAUUAUUUAUAUGCAUUACAGUAAAAAAAUUAUUUAAAAAAUAACAACAAGUUAAUGUUACUGGAGAUAUUUAAUUAAUAGCGUGCACAGAAAGAGAUACUUCGACUCGCAAAGAAAAUCUUAAUUCUUAGCAUUCUCUUUAUCCCUCCUUUAUGCGAACAAAGAUUAGGUUCUACUCAUACGAAAUGACUGCCUUUCAUUUCGUGUUAUUUGAGACAAUUAACAACGGCAGGAGACAUAAUUUUUAAUAAACUUGAGUUAACUUUAUCAAUUUAUUUUUUAAAAAAUAAAUUAAAAAUAAUAUUAUUUUUUAUCGGGUCUUUCUCGAGCUACUCGGGUUGAGAGUUAACCUAGGUUUUUGACCGGAUCACGCCAAGUCGGUUCGGUUCACGGGUCAAGUUAUUGACUUGGGUCGGGUUUUAAAACAAUGAUAAGAGGGUGGCUUGAUAGUUAAAGAAUAUCAUUCUCUUUUCUGACUAAGACGUUGUUUGAAAUUGUGUUCCAAACAAUGAUUUAUGAAAAAUUAAAAUUUUUUAUUUAAAAUUAAUUUUUUUAUAUAUUUUUAAAUCGUUUUGAUAUGUUGAUAUUAAAAAUAUUUUUUUAUAAAUAAAAAAAUAUUAUUUUAAUUUAUUCUCAAGUAAAAAAACACUUUAAAAAUUAAUUUUUACCACACUUUCAAACACCAAUAAAAAAAAUCCACUUAUUGUAUGUUUUCACAACUGUUUUCAUUAGUCUAUUUAUUAUUGUUUUUCUUCAAGCUUGUGAAACGGAGUGUUGUUUUUACAUUUCAAAAGUGUUUUUGAAAAAAAUUAAAUUUUAUUUAUUUAUUUUUGUUUUAAAUUAAUAUUUUUUUGGUAUUUUUAGAUUAUUUUGAUGUGUUGAUAUCAAAAAUAAUUUUUUAAAAAUAAAAAUAAUUAUUAUUUUAAUAUAUUUUUAAAUAAAAAAUAUUUUAAAAUAACCUAAACUAAACUUCCAAACAAUCGUACUGCUGUUAACUGCUUUGCUUUUCUUCUUAGACUUGGAAAGUCACGUGUUAUGAACAAAUGAUUACAUCUUGUGGACUAUAUGGCAGAAGAGAUACAGAAAAUGACUUUUAUUAUCAUUAUUUUGUUCUUAUCGGAAUCAUAUUUAUCAGACGGGUUGGUCCAGUCAAGAAAUUGGAUAUCGAGUUAUACAGUUUGACCUUAAUCAACUUAAAAAAUUUUAAAUUUUUUUUAAUUUUUUAAUAUUUUAUAAAAAAAAAUUUUAAAAAAAUAUAGGUAAAUAUAACUAUAAAUAUUAUAAAUAAUAUAUUUUAAAAAAAUUAUCCCAUGUUAAAAUAAUAUUAUAAUAAUAUAUUAUCUUAUUAAAUUGAAGUAUUUAAAACAAAAAGAUUUUUUAUACCACAUUAAAAGAAAUAAUUUUUUUUGUGAACAUAAAGUACAUAUUAAAAGAUUUUAAAUUUUAUAAUAAAAAAAUAAAAUAUUUUUCUAAUAUUUAUAUAGUGAAAUUUAAAAAUAAUUAAUAAUAAAAAUAUAUAAAAAAGAGUUUCUUCCUAAAAAAAACAUAUUUAAAAAAACAAGAGUUUUAAUCUAAUUUUGUUGGAUUAUUUGGUUACAAGUCAACUAGGUUUUAUCAGGUUGUACUUGUCAUUGAAUGAAAUGAUAUUCCGACAUAGCUUUUAAAUAAAAUCAUGUAUACAACGUGGUUAAAUAAAAUUGAGAGUGAGAACCAUCUAGUUAGUGAUUCAGUGGUAAGAGCUUGGGAUCAAGAGAUAUGUUUUUUCUGUGGUCUUAGGUUCAAGUCCUGUGGUUGCUUAUAUGAUGGCCACUGGAGGCUUACAUGGUCGUUAACUUCAGGGCUCGCGGGAUUAGUCGAGGUACACGCAAGCUGGUCCGAACACCCACGUUAAACUAAAAAAAAAUCGACAGUGAGAAUAAAAAAAAAUAAAAAUAAAAAGUAAGUGGUUGGGUGACGCUGAACGGCUGAAAUUUUUAUAUCUUUUGUGCCAGCUCAAAUGAACAGGAAUUGGAGUCCAACACCAACUCUGGUCUGAAAAAUCGAAUCUCGACAUAAUUUUUUUAUGCCUUUUGUUUUUGUUUUAUUAGCUGUAAAAAAACUUUUUCUGCACUUAAUUUUUUUAAUACGAGCAAAGUCAGCAAACACAAUUUUCCGUGCCAAUAAAUGCUUAAUAACUUUAAUUUCAAUAAUGCAGAAAUGCACCGUCGAGCAUAUAUAAUAUAAUGGCAAUGUUGAGGUAGGUCACACUCCAAAAUCAUGUGACGAGGACCCUCUCUGUAAUUAACGUGUCUGCCAAUUAACUAACUAAAAACAUGAGCAUUCAUAAAAAAAAAAUAUGUAUAUUAACUAGUAUAUUUAAUGGCCCAAUGUAGCUGGUAAAUACUUUUUCAAUAUUUAAAAAAUAUUAAGAACAUAAAAUUUUUUUUAAGCAUGCUUGACAGUGAUGUCAAAUUCAAAAAUCUUGUAUAUGUAACCAUGCUAGAUCAAGUAACUUAAGUCUAAUAGUUAUUUCAAAUUCAAGGUUUUUAGUUUUGUAGCUACAUCAGAAGCUAUAUUAGAUAGGAAUGAUUAUUUUCGGUUCGAUUUAGUUUUUAUAUAAAAAAAAAUAACUAAAUCAAAAUAUUUUUUUUUUUUAAAAAACCAAACUGAAAAUAAUUUUUUUUUCAUUAUAUAAUUUUUUUUUUGUCAGUCUCCUUUUCUAGAAUGAAAAUGUUGAAGUAUUUUCAACAUAUAUUUUACCGUCAACAAAAGGUUUAAUUGUGUCAUCCUUCCUUUUCUCAACAAGGAGCUUUUUGGCUUUUAAUGUAAAAAUAUUUUAUUAUUAUUAUUAUUUUCAUGAGUGAUAAAUAGACAUGAACUGCUGUACACUGAUUCGGCUAUAUAAAUGCAUGGAGAGCUAGCUUUAAUGGCACUGGGCUCUUUUGAACCAUCCCCUGCUCACCACCAGUGGCGGAGCCACGUGGGUGCAAAAGGGGGCAAUUGCCCCCUUCAUUUUUUUUUUUUAAGCAUUUUCUAUAUUAGGAUAUUAAUAUAAUAAUUUGGGGAGGAUUUGAUACACGGAAAGUGGAAAGUUGCUGUUUACUUAUAUUUUAAUAUAAUAUAUAAUAUAUAUUUUCAGUUUAUUUACUUAAACUUUUUCCUUUUUUUUUUGUUUUUUUCACUAAUUAAUAGAGAGUCAUUUUUCCUUUUGAAUUGUUGUCUUCCUCUCUCUUAUGCAAAUUUCUUUUAAAGUUAAGAUAACUAAGUAAUUUCUUUUGCUUUAUACUUUAAAUACAUUUUUUUUUAUCUUUUCUAUUUAUUUCAUUAUCUAAUUUUAGUUUUAUUUUUUUAUAAUUAGUUAUUAAAAAUAUUAGGGUUUAUGAUAAUUUAGGGGUUUUAAUAUGAAUGUGUUCAAAUAUGUUCAAAAUAAAUGUUUGAAUUUACUAAUUUAAUCAAUUAAAUGUUUUUUUUUUAUUAUAAAUGAAUAAAUUAAUGUUCAUGCAAAACACAUCUCUUGUAUUGACAUAAUAGAUUAUUGGAAUUAUUUAACUAAGGUCUCUUAGUUCUAUAAUUAUGGAUUAAUUAUUUAAUUGAGGUCUCUUAAUUUACAAUGUACAUAUAUUAAUUGUCAUUUUAUAUCACAAAUUUAUUUGUAAUUAAUUGUUAACGAAAUGCUUGGAGUUAGGAGAGGGGAUGGGUUUAAAUCCUAUAAGUUACACUUUUUCUCUCUCGGUAUUUUCUCUUAUUUGAAAGUAUAGGAUAGUAUUAAAACUUGUUUCACAUAUUUGACUUAGUGAGUUCAUACAAAUUUUUUGUGUGUCUAGAAAUAAUUUAAAUGUCUAAAAAUGAUUAAGUAUAAUUUAAUCAACAUACUUAUUAUAUACAUAUAGAUAUGAAUUGAAAUAAGUUUUGAUGAAUUGAUGUAUAUUUUGCUAUGAAUAUCAUAUGAAAGAUUUAAAAUUAUUGUGUAACUCAACUAACUUUAUUAUUAUGUAGUUAUGUUAAUUAUUAUGUAGACACUAAUGAUAAUAAAAAAAAUCAGUAGGUUCAUUGAUUAAAUUAACACGUCACUAUACAAGUAUUUCAAGUGUAAAUCCCUUGAGAAUAAAUAGUUAUUCAAAACUUCAAAUCAUGUAACUCAAUCAAGUUAAAAAAAAAAUUAUAUUGAAAAAUCAUAAUAUUUAUUAGUAAUUUGCCCCGUCAUCAAAAAAAUUCUGGACCCGCCACUGCUCACCACACCAUUUUCCCUUCGUUAUCUUCAUGGAGACGACCACAAUCUCUUCAAACGGAGAAAGCGAGGUAAAAGAUGAGAUUCAAGGCUUGAUUACAAGCUUUCCUAGUGAGAGAAACUGGGAUGGAUCUCCCCUUAAUUUAUUUCUAUAAAGGGGUCUGGUAUCCAGUUUUCGCCAUUAGAGGGGCUCUUUCCUUUCGACAACAUUUCAUUGCACAGGACACAGAUAUAAUACUAGCGAGCAUGCCAAAAUCAGGCACCACCUGGCUAAAAGCUCUCACGUUCUCUGUGGUAAACCGCAACAUUUACAGUCCCAAAGAGAGUCCCUUACUCCCUACCCCACCCCAUGAACUCGUUCGUUUCUUUGAGAUAGACCUUUACUAAAAAAAACAGCUCCCAGAUCUCAAACAACUUCCUUCCCCAAGGAUUGGCAGUUCUCACUCCCAUUAUGAAACCUUGCCACAGUCCAUUAGAGAUUCUGGUUGCAAGAUUGUUUACAUAUGCAGGAAUCCUUUGGAUCAACUUGUCUCUUAUUUUCAUUUUGCUCGCAUGCAAGUUCAAACAAGAGAAUGUCAAGCCUUUAUCAUCGAUUGAUGAAGGUUUCGACAACGUUUGUCUUGGUAUCCUGAGUCAUGGACCCUUUUGGGAUAAUGUGUUGGGGUAUUGGAAGGCAAGCUUAGAGAGACCAGACAAGGUGUUGUUUUUAAAAUAUGAAGACUUGAAGGAGGAUAUAAUCUCUAACUUGAAGAAAAUCGCUGCGUUCUUGGGAAUUCCUUUCACCGACAAAGAAGAAAAGGAAGGGGUUAUUGAAGAAAUAUCAAGGCUGUGCAGCUUAGACAAUCUCAGGAAUUUGGAAGUGAACAAAAAUGGUGUUCGUACUUCUGGGCUUCCAAACAGUUCCUUCUUCAGGAAAGGAGAGGUGGGUGAUUGGGAAAAUUAUCUGAUUCCUUCCAUGGCUGAGAAUUACCUGAAGAUCGUGGAAGAGAAGUUGAGUGGAUCUGGUUUAACCUUCAGAACAUCUCAAUAAAGUGCAAAUCUAUGGGAUGCGUUCUCAAUAAUUCCCUAGUGUUUUUGUGAGCGUGGAUAUCUAUUAUUGUUCAGUUUUUUACGAGGUUUUUUCUAAUAAUAACAAAAAAGGCUUUGUUUUUAUUAUCACUCCCGACCAGAAGUUUCUAGUAAGAAGAUGAUAAAAGAUUGGUCUUUGCUGUGUCUCUUUUGUUCUUGUACUAAGGAAAAUCUUGAAGGAUAUUUUGGUGUUUGUGUAUUUUUAACAGAGCAGGUACAAAAAAAGGCGGGAG